rnacentral:rRNA from 1 species
UACGUAGGGGGCAAGCGUUGUCCGGAUUUAUUGGGCGUAAAGAGCGUGUAGGCGGCUUGGUAGGUCCGCUGUGAAAACUCGAGGCUCAACCUCGAGAUGUCGGCGGAAACCACUUGGCUAGAGUCCGGAAGAGGAGAGUGGAAUUCCCGGUGUAGCGGUGAAAUGCGCAGAUAUCAGGAGGAACACCGGUGGCGAAGGCGGAUCUCUGGGCCAUUACUGACGCUGAGGAGCGAAAGCGUGGGGAGCGAACAGG